UACGUAGGUGGCAAGCGUUGUCCGGAUUUACUGGGCGUAAAGAGCGCGCAGGCGGUCGUUCAAGUCGCGUGUGAAAGCCCCCGGCUCAACUGGGGAGGGUCACGCGAUACUGAUCGACUCGAAGGCAGGAGAGGGUAGUGGAAUUCCCGGUGUAGUGGUGAAAUGCGUAGAUAUCGGGAGGAACACCAGUGGCGAAGGCGACUACCUGGCCUGUUCUUGACGCUGAGGCGCGAAAGCUAGGGGAGCAAACAGG
rnacentral:rRNA from 1 species